GAUGAACGCUGGCGGCGUGCCUAAUACAUGCAAGUCGAGCGAACGGGCCAUGAGCUUGCUUCUCUGAUGUUAGCGGCGGACGUGUGAGUCACACGUGUAUCACCUACCUAUCAUACUGGGAUCACUUCGGGACACCGGAGCUAAUCCCGUAUGAUAUUUUGCACCACAUGGUUCGAAAGUGAAAUACGGUCUUUCUGGCACUUCUAGAUGCAUCCGCGCUGGAUUAGCUGGUUGGUAAUGUAACGGCUUACCAAGGCAAGUAUGCCUAUCCGACGUGAGAGGGUGAUAGGCCGCACGAGAGCUGAGCCACGGACAAGACGACUACGGUACGCAGCAGUAGCGAAUGUUACGCAAUGGGGGAGAGUCUGACGGAGCGACGCCGAGUGAGAGACAACGGUCUUCGGAUCGUAAUACCCUGUUACCAGGGAAAAACCUAUGUGUAAGGAAAUGUGGAGAGAUUGACGGUAACUAAUAAGAAAGCAACGGCUAACUACGUG
rnacentral:rRNA from 1 species